CCUACGGGAGGCAGCAGUGGGGAAUAUUGCACAAUGGGGGAAACCCUGAUGCAGCGACGCCGCGUGAGUGAAGAAGUAUUUCGGUACGUAAAGCUCUAUCAGCAGGGAAGAAAAUGACGGUACCUGACUAAGAAGCCCCGGCUAACUACGUGCCAGCAGCCGCGGUAAUACGUAGGGGGCAAGCGUUAUCCGGCUUUACUGGGUGUAAAGGGAGCGUAGACGGCAGCGCAAGUCUGGAGUGAAAUCCCAUGGCUUAACCAUGGAACUGCUUUGGAAACUGUGCAGCUAGAGUGCAGGAGAGGUAAGCGGAAUUCCUAGUGUAGCGGUGAAAUGCGUAGAUAUUAGGAGGAACACCAGUGGCGAAGGCGGCUUACUGGACUGUAACUGACGUUGAGGCUCGAAAGCGUGGGGAGCAAACAGGAUUAGAUACCCCGGUAGUC
rnacentral:rRNA from 1 species